rnacentral:rRNA from 1 species
CGGCGAACGGGUGCGUAACACGUAAAGAACCUACCCUUUGAAGGGGGAUAGCCCUGGGAAACCGGGGGUAAUACCGCAUAAGGUGCAAGAAGCGCAUGCUACUUGCAGGAAAGGUUACUCUAAAAGGUAGUCGUCAGAGGAAGGCUUUGCGGCCUAUCAGGUAGUUGGUGGGGUCACGGCCUACCAAGCCUAAGACGGGUAGCUGGUCUUAGAGGAUGGUCAGCCACACUGGGACUGAGACACGGUCCAG